rnacentral:rRNA from 1 species
UACAGGGGGUGCAAACGUUGCUCGGAAUUAUUGGGCGUAAAGCGCACGUAGGCGGUUUACUAUGUCGGAUGUGAAAGCCCUUGGCUUAACUGAGGAAGUGCAUCCGAAACUGGCAAGCUAGAGUACCAAAGAGGGUCGCGGAAUUCCCGGUGUAGAGGUGAAAUUCGUAGAUAUCGGGAGGAACACCGGUGGCGAAGGCGGCGACCUGGGUGGAUACUGACGCUGAGGUGCGAAAGCGUGGGGAGCAAACAGG